rnacentral:rRNA from 1 species
GAUGAACGCUGGCGGCGUGCCUAAUACAUGCAAGUCGAGCGAACGGACGAGAAGCUUGCUUCUCUGAUGUUAGCGGCGGACGGGUGAGUAACACGUGGAUAACCUACCUAUAAGACUGGGAUAACUUCGGGAAACCGGAUCUAAUACCGGAUGAUAUUUUGAACCGCAUGGUUCAAAAGUGAAAGACGGUCUUGCUGUCACUUAUAGAUGGAUCCGCGCUGCAUUAGCUAGUUGGUAAGGUAACGGCUUACCAAGGCAACGAUGCAUAGCCGACCUGAGAGGGUGAUCGGCCACACUGGAACUGAGACACGGUCCAGACUCCUACGGGAGGCAGCAGUAGGGAAUCUUCCGCAAGGGGCGAAAGCCUGACGGAGCAACGCCGCGUGAGUGAUGAAGGUCUGCGGAUCGUAAAACUCUGUUAUUAGGGAAGAACAUAUGUGUAAGUAACUGUGCACAUCUGGACGGUACCUAAUCAGAAAGCCACGGCUAACUACGU